rnacentral:ncRNA from 1 species
UUUUAUGUUUUUGUUGAUGUUCACAUUGACGAUAAGCCGUACAAUCGGGCGGCUCCAUCGUCUGAAUUGUAGUCUGGAGAAGCGUCCUCAACUGCGGAAUGGGCCCGAGUCCCCUGUUAGGGGGCACCAGAGAGGGUGGGAAACCCAUCGUAACCAGACCCUAAUGGACCACAAGGCGCAGUGUACGAGUCAGGUCAUUGUGUAAUGCCGCCCAAAUUGGGCAGUGAAUUCCAUCCAAGGCUAAAUACUGGCGAGAGAUCGAUAGAAAACAAGAACCGCGAGGGAAAGAUGAAUAAGACUUUGAAAAUAGAGUCAAAGAGUGCUUGAAAUUGUUUGGAGGGAAGCGGAUGGGGUUAGGCGGUUCACUCACUUGAAUGUGAAACGGUGACAACACGAUUCGCCGAUCGACUCGUGGCAUGGACUAAAAUAAAUUGGGGGGGCGGCCGAAGUCCGGGCUGUCUAUACUCCCGUGGAACGCCGUCUCCUUGAUUGUGGAAGACAGCACGCGCCUAUGUCGUGCUUCGACAUCUUCGCACUCUAGACAUUGGCAUGUGCGCUCCGCAUUCGACCCGUCUUGAAACACAGACCAAGGAAUCUUACAUAUGUGUGAGUCAACGAGCGAGUAAACCCGUAAGGUGCAACGAAACUGAUUGGUGGGAUCCCCCAAGGGGUGCACCGCCGAUCGGCCAUGAUCUUCUAGGAAGGGUUCGAGUAUGAGCAUACAUAUCAGCACCCGAACGAUGGUGAACUAUGUCAGAGCCAGAGGAAACUUUGAUGGAGGGCCGCAAGGAUACCGACAUACAAAUCGUUCGUCUGACUUGGGUAUAUGGACGAAAGACUAAUCGAACCGUCCAGUAGCUGGUUCCCUCUUAAUUUUCCCUCAAGAUAGCUGGAGCUCGCGUGCGAGUUCAAUCAGGUAAAUCCAAUGAUUAGAGGCCUCGGGGCCGCAAUGCCCUCGACCUAUUCUCAAACUUUAAAUAGGUAGGACGGUGCGACUAUGGAUGGCGCUUAAGCGCGCAACCUACACCCGGCCGUCGGGUCAAGUUCCAGGCUUCGAUGAGUAUGAGGACACGACGGUCCUUGCAAAACCUUGGGCGUGAGCCUAGGUUGAGCGGCCGUUGUUGCAGAUCUUUGUAGUAGUAGAAAAUAUUCAAAUUAGAACUUUGAAAGCCGAUGAAGAGAAAGGAUCCAUGUGAAUGGCACUUGCUCAUGGGUAUGCCGAUCCUAAGGGUUAAGGGAACCCCGACAGAUAGCACGUUUCAUGCGUACUCCGAUAUGCAAUUUGGUUAACAUUCCUUAACUGGGACAUGGUGUUACUCUUCAAUACAGUCACUAUCAACAUUCAUGAUCACUUUCGCUAGUGCCUCAACACAAAUAUGCUCUUCUAUUUGUACCUCGGAAGAAUUCUCUACCUUGUAGGGUAUCACAGAU